rnacentral:misc_RNA from 1 species
GAAACAAGCAACGCAAUCUUGGGCGUCUUCGGAAGUUCUGACUAGGGCGGCCGCCGGUUUUCUGAAGGGAGACCCUUCCGCCAAUCAAACUCGCUCUGUGUCUCAAUACUUUUCUUUGGUUUUAAUUAUCUGUGUCACUUUUUCGGUUUGGUUCUUGUUCGAAUCCCGACAACGAAGAACUAGAGGACUGAUCUGCUCCCCGUGUAAAAGAGAGAGGAUUCUAUGAUGGAUGUACAAAUGAAGGACGAAAAGAGCUUGGAAGAAGAAGAUGAUUACGUUGAAUAUGUUCCUGUGGCGAAGCGUAGAGCAAUGGAAGCUCAAAAGAUUCUUAUGCGGAAGGGCAAGGCUUCUGCCCUUGAGGAAGAGUUGGAGAAAUCAAGACUUGCUGAAGCCAAGCCUAGUCUCCUUGUAAAAGCAUCUCAGAUGAAGCGUGACCAACCAGAAGUUAGUCCAACAGAGCAGAUUGUUCAGCAAGAGAAGGAGAUGAUCGAGCACUUAUCUGAUCGUAAAACUCUAAUGUCAGUUCGUGAACUAGCAAAAGGAAUUACAUACACAGAGCCAUUAUUAACUGGAUGGAAGCCACCAUUGCCUAUAAGGAGGAUGCCGAAAAAGGCCUGUGAUUUGAUUCGCAAACAGUGGCACAUAAUAGUUGAUGGUGAUGAG